rnacentral:rRNA from 1 species
ACGAACGCUGGCGGCGUGCCUCAUACAUGCAAGUUGAGCGCUGAAGGUUGGUACUUGUACCGACUGGAUGAGCAGCGAACGGGUGAGUAACGCGUGGGGAAUCUGCCUUUGAGCGGGGGACAACAUUUGGAAACGAAUGCUAAUACCGCAUAAAAACUUUAAACACAAGUUUUAAGUUUGAAAGAUGCCAUUGCAUCACUCAAAGAUGAUCCCGCGUUGUAUUAGCUAGUUGGUGAGGUAAAGGCUCACCAAGGCGAUGAUACAUAGCCGACCUGAGAGGGUGAUCGGCCACAUUGGGACUGAGACACGGCCCAAACUCCUACGGGAGGCAGCAGUAGGGAAGCUUCGGCAAUGGACGAAAGUCUGACCGAGCAACGCCGCGUGAGUGAAGAAGGGUUUCGGAUCGUAAAACUCUGUUGGUAGAGAAGAACGUUGGUGAGAGUGGAAAGCUCAUCAAGUGACGGUAACUACCCAGAAAGGGACGGCUAACUACGUG